rnacentral:rRNA from 1 species
GAGUUUGAUCAUGGCUCAGAACGUACGCUGGCGGCACGCCUAACACAUGCAAGUCGAACGAAGUAGCAAUACUUAGUGGCAGACGGGUGAGUAACAUGUAGGUAUCUGCCCUUUGGCCUGGAAUAACACGAGGAAAUUUGUGCUAAUACCGGAUAAGUCUUUACGGAGAAAGCUUUAUGCACCAUUGGAUGAGCCUGCACUUGAUUAGUUUGUUGGUGGGGUAAUGGCCUACCAAGACUGUGAUCAAUAGCUGAUUUGAGAGGAUGAUCAGCCACAUUGGGACUGAGACACGGCCCAAACUCCUACGGGAGGCAGCAGUGGGGAAUCUUGCACAAUGGAGGAAACUCUGAUGCAGCGAUGCCGCGUGAGUGAAGAAGGCCCUUGGGUUGUAAAGCUCUUUCGUCGGGGAAGAAAAUGACUGUACCCGAAUAAGAAGGUCCGGCUAACUUCGUGCCAGCAGCCGCGGUAAUACGAAGGGACCUAGCGUAGUUCGGAAUUACUGGGCUUAAAGAGUUCGUAGGUGGUUGAAAAAGUUAGUGGUGAAAUCCCAGAGCUUAACUCUGGAACUGCCAUUAAAACUUUUCAGCUAGAGUAUGAUAGAGGAAAGCAGAAUUUCUAGUGUAGAGGUGAAAUUCGUAGAUAUUAGAAAGAAUACCAAUUGCGAAGGCAGCUUUCUGGAUCAUUACUGACACUGAGGAACGAAAGCAUGGGUAGCGAAGAGGAUUAGAUACCCUCGUAGUCCAUGCCGUAAACGAUGUGUGUUAGACGUUGGAAAUUUAUUUUCAGUGUCGCAGCGAAAGCGAUAAACACACCGCCUGGGGAGUACGACCGCAAGGUUAAAACUCAAAUGAAUUGACGGGGACCCGCACAAGUAGUGGAGCAUGUGGUUUAAUUCGAAGAUACGCGCAGAACCUUACCAACACUUGACAUGUUCGUCGCGACUCUAAGAGAUUAGAGUUUUCGGUUCGGCCGGACGAAACACAGGUGCUGCAUGGCUGUCGUCAGCUCGUGUCGUGAGAUGUUGGGUUAAGUCCCGCAACGAGCGCAACCCUCACUUUUAGUUGCCAUCAUUAAGUUGGGCACUCUGAAAGAACUGCCAGUGAUAAGCUGGAGGAAGGUGGGGAUGACGUCAAGUCCUCAUGGCCCUUACGUGUUGGGCUACACACGUGCUACAAUGGUAUCUACAACAGGAAGCAAGACUGCGAAGUUAAGCAAAUCCCUAAAAGAUACCUCAGUUCGGAUUGCACUCUGCAACUCGAGUGCAUGAAGCUGGAAUUACUAGUAAUCGUGGAUCAGCGUGCCACGGUGAAUGCGUUCCCGGGUCUUGUACACACCGCCCGUCACACCAUGGGAGUUGGUUCUACCUUAAGGCAAGGUUUUAAACCCUUGACCACGGUAUAGUCAGCGACUGGGGUGAAGUCGUAACAAGGUAACC